rnacentral:rRNA from 1 species
CACUGUCACUCCUACGGGGAGGCAGCAGUGGGGAAUAUUGCACAAUGGGCGCAAGCCUGAUGCAGCCAUGCCGCGUGUAUGAAGAAGGCCUUCGGGUUGUAAAGUACUUUCAGUCGUGAGGAAGGCGGCGUCGUUAAUAGCGGCGUUGUUUGACGUUAGCGACAGAAGAAAGCACCGGCUAACUCCGUGCCAGCAGCCGCGGUAAUACGGAGGGUGCGAGCGUUAAUCGGAAUUACUGGGCGUAAAGCGCAUGCAGGUGGUUUGUUAAGUCAGAUGUGAAAGCCCGGGGCUCAACCUCGGAAUUGCAUUUGAAACUAGGCAGACUAGAGUACUGUAGAGGGGGGUAGGAAUUUCAGGUGUAGCGGUGAAAUGCGUAGAGAUCUGAAGGAAUACCGGUGGCGAAGGCGGCCCCCUCGGACAGAUACUGACACUCAGAUGCGAAAGCGUGGGGAGCAAACAGGAUUAGAUACCCUGGUAG